rnacentral:rRNA from 1 species
UGGGGAAUUUUGGACAAUGGGCGAAAGCCUGAUCCAGCAAUGCCGCGUGUGUGAAGAAGGCCUUCGGGUUGUAAAGCACUUUUGUCCGGAAAGAAAUCCUUGGCUCUAAUACAGUCGGGGGAUGACGGUACCGGAAGAAUAAGCACCGGCUAACUACGUGCCAGCAGCCGCGGUAAUACGUAGGGUGCAAGCGUUAAUCGGAAUUACUGGGCGUAAAGCGUGCGCAGGCGGUUUGCUAAGACCGAUGUGAAAUCCCCGGGCUAACCUGGGAACUGCAUUGGUGACUGGCAGGCUAGAGUAUGGCAGAGGGGGGUAGAAUUCCACGUGUAGCAGUGAAAUGCGUAGAGAUGUGGAGGAAUACCGAUGGCGAAGGCAGCCCCCUGGGCCAAUACUGACGCUCAUGCACGAAAGCGUGGGGAGCAAACAGGAUUAGAUACCCUGGUAGUCCACGCCCUAAAACGAUGUCAACUAGUUGUUGGGGAUUCAUUUCCUUAGUAACGUAGCUAACGCGUGAAGUUGACCGCCUGGGGAGUACGGUCGCAAGAUUAAAACUUAAAUGAAUUGACGGGGUCAUAGCUGUUUCCU